CCUGUCUCAGCCCAUACGUCACCUGCAUGGGCCUCAGCCCACCGAAUCAAAUCCAGCAGCCAGACAAGCCGAUAGAAGAGACAGAAAGAAAAUACAUGUGUCCAUACACGGAGCACGGGCUCUCGCCUCCUCUCUCGCUCGCCGCCGCCACCACCCACGUCGGCCGCUUCUCCGGUGACCUCCGGCGCCGUGCAGCACGCCCCCGAGCUCCCCACGGUCCACGCCUCCCUCCCCUCCGGCCAGAGUCUCCGCUCCCGUCCUCUACCGCCCGCUCGCAAGCCCAUCCCCCAUGGCUAGGGUUUCGGGGGAUAAACAAGGGGAGGUAUAGCAGGGCGUUGGACAUUUGCGGGAGUGGGGGAGAUCGAUGAGGACGAGGACUGUCUGGUGCACUGCUGGUGCGGGGAGGGCAGGGGAGAGGGAUGGCUGCUGCGCUGCUGUUAGCUGCAUAUAGUACUGCUCCUUUCCUGUUGUUUGUUGAUUGAUGCUGCUGCUGCUGCUACUUUGAUGCAGUUGCUGCUAAUUUGAUGUGGAGGACGUGCAGGGACGGACGACGAGUGAGCAGAGGAUUUAUCCGGGACCUAAAUUUGGCAGGUAAAAAUUGGUCUGUUUGCCGCUAGCUGGCUUCAUGUGAUGCUAUAGUGUGCUAUGGAGAGGUACAGAGGUUAUUUUACAGGACCAUGAAGGUUCAUGAUUGGCAAUUGAUCUUGGGCUAUUGGCUUAUUAUGAUCAAAACUGAGAUUAUAUGCGCCACUGUUAGUGGUCUUGCAGAGUUGGAAUGUUAUGCUUCACUGUAAUUGCUUUACUGAAUCUACAGACUAAGAAAAUUUCUAUUUCUUGUGUCAGGCAAAUGGGUGAGCUCUCACAUCCCUCUCAGUCUCCUUUGAUUUGCUGCUGCUGCUACUUUGAUGCAGUCCAUGACCUCUCUGUCAAUGAUACCUGAAAUUCUUGGGACUUCUUUCGAAUCGAAACAUUAGAAGAUAAGCUUGUGGUGACUUUAUGAGGUUUUGGCAUUGGACCGUUUGAAACUUUAGAUUGGCAGAGAGAUAGAGACCCUGGUGCUCUGAAGGAUGUUGAAUUUGAGAUCAAAAAUUAUUGUUGUUAAAUAAUCUUUGCUUCUUUCAAUUGGAAAAUUUAGCGUUGUUGGUUGUUUGAUGCUGCAGUGGGCCUUGGCAGUGGCGAGCUAGGUGCCGGCGAGGUAGGCGACAUCAUCAACGAGGGCCAUCAUGGCCUCCACCUGCGCCCUCUUGCAGGUGGACUGCUGGUCAUCGGUGCGGCGGGUCGGGCUCUUGCAGCAACAUCUACGAUAUUCUCUGGACGAGCUGCAGGUAGGCCAGUAGAUGAGGAUUCGACGACCACCACCGAGGUAUGCCCUCCUCUCCUUGCCCUUGGGCUGGCAUCUCUGAUCAGGUUGUAAUCUGCUGAUGUAGUGUUGCUCUUUGGGGAUUCCUAUGGGAUCUAUUUUUGAUUGGUCAAAGCUGGUAUGUUGGCCACCGGUUGGUUUAACAUGAUGCUAUAAUGCGCUACGGAGAGAUAUGUUAUUCCAGUACAAGUGGCCGGUCAGUUAAUUUGAGGAUUUUUGCCUUUUGUUCUUCAGGCCUAUAGCUUUGUGGUUUCAGUUCGACAGUUAAAAGUUGCAUUGGCUUGUAAAAAUUCAUGUGAUUGGACCAGUAGGUGAGGAUGAUCUCAUAUGGAAAAUACUGCUCCAUGGUAUUAAAAUCUGUUAUAGGUGUUGGAAGUCAAUGCUAGGAGCUCCUGGGAUGUGCUCAUGCAUGCUUGGUCGGAACUUUUCUUUUGAAUCAAUUGAUGAACCGAUGGCAUCAAAUAUGCCGUAUGUGUACUCCACUACGUACGACAGGGUGGAAACAAGUUUGAUCGAUGGAGAUGGAUUUCUAUCCUGUUGGUGCAAUUGUAUGUUCAGGUGGUUCUUUCAUGUCCGUUCUCUCUAGCUUCUUGAUGUUUUCUUUCUCAGGUGUAAUUUAGUUGCCAUUUGUAAUAGCCAAAUUUUCAUGUCAAACAUGAUUUAAAGAUUUUCUAUGCCAGUUGACAUGUCAUUUAUUUUCUA